CGAUGAAGGCCUUCGGGUUGUAAAGUCCUGUCAGGGGGGACGAGGGUCAAUCUUUAAGAUUGACUGACGGUACCCCCAGAGGAAGCUCCGGCCAACUACGUGCCAGCAGCCGCGGUAAUACGUAGGGAGCGAGCGUUAUUCGGAUUUACUGGGCGUAAAGCGUGCGUAGGCGGUUAUAUAAGUCAAAGGUGAAAUCCUUACUCUCAAAGUAAGAACUGCCUUUGAUACUAUAUAACUAGAGAGCAAAAGGGGGGAAUGGAACUCUGGGAGUAGCGGUGAAAUGCGUAGAUAUCCAGAGGAACGCCAGUAGCGAAGGCGGUUCCCUAGUUUGCCUCUGACGCUCAAGCACGAAAGCUAGGGGAGCGAUCGGGAUUAGAGACCCCGGUAGUCCUAGCUGUAAACGAUGAGUACUAAGUGUAGGGGGAGCAUUACCCUCCGUGCUGAAGCUAACGCGUUAAGUACUCCGCCUGGGGAGUACGGCCGCAAGGCUGAAACUCAAAGGAAUUGACGGGGGGCUGAACAAGCAGUGGAGCACGUGGUUCAAUUCGACGCAAAGCGAAGAACCUUACCAGGGCUUGACAUGCUAGUAGUAGCGAUCCGAAAGGUGAGCGAUCUGGAGCUUAUGCUUCAGAAGCUAGCACAGGUGGUGCAUGGCUGUCGUCAGCUCGUGCCGUGAGGUGUCGGGUUAAGUCCCUCAACGAGCGCAACCCUUGUCCUUAGUUGCCAGCGGGUAAAGCCGGGUACUCUAAGGAGACUG
rnacentral:rRNA from 1 species